CAUGAGUUCCCUUGAAGGCUGGACAAAUACGCAACAUCUUUAAAGCAGGAUUUGUCUUCAUUUUUAACGCCAAGUUUACGCAGAUUUUUCCUUCAAAACGGGGAAUCACUAUGACUUCAUCGCACAGUGGAACAUCUGCUUCAGGUGAGGUCAGUAGAAUAACAAAUGGCAGUUUUCAUAUUCAUAUUUGAAGACGAAGAUUAAACGUUCCAUAAAGUAUGACUUCCAGGUACGGGAGGCGUGGAAAAGUACCAACUAAAGGACGAUUAUGAACACAGUAAUACAACAAUGGGAAAUAUGUCAACAUAUUACAUUACAUUCAUUACAAUCAAAAUUAUGGAUCAACUCAGGGGUGGGCAAAUUUUUUGACAUUCGGUUACAAAAUUUGGUGGCGGGAACCUCAAAACGGAUGGACAUACUUGCUCACGGUGCGACCAAACGCAAACUCAACACAUCCACAGCAAGUAACUUCAAAGUGUUACUUCCAAAUGCCCGCAAGGUAUGCUGGGUAGUCCAGCUGAAACAACAUGAACUACGACCUUCAAGAGUAUGUUGUAAGUUUGAGAGAGAAAAAAAACAGCAAAAUGGUGGGAGAAAGAGUACCACAAGCUACCCAGCAUGCCUUGCGGCAUGAAUAUAUGUUUUUUUUGGCAUGGUUAAAAGGGAAAAGAAUUUGAAAAUGUCCGGUGGGUCGGUCCACAAGCCACAGUUUUCCCACCCAUGAAUUCUGUGUGGAAUUUAUUAAUGAUGAAUCAUUUCUAGAAUGGUGGGAGAAAGAGUACCAUAAGGUACCCAGCAUGCCUUGCGGCAUGAAUAUAUUUUUUUUUGGCAUGGUUAAAAGGGAAAGGAAUUUGAAAAUGUCCGGUGGGUCGGUCCACAAGCCACAGUUUGCCCACCCAUGAAUUCUGUAUGGAAUUUAUUAAUGAUCAAUCAUUUCUAGAAUGGUGGGAGAAAGAGUACCAUAAGAUACCCAGCAUGCCUUGCGGCAGGAAUAUAUGGGUCUUUUUUUGGCAUGGUUAUAAGGGAAAGGAAUUUGAAAAUGUCUGGUGUGUCGGUCCACAAGCCACAGUUUGCCCACCCAUGAAUUCUGUAUGGAAUUUAUUAAUGAUCAAUCAUUUCUAGAAUGGUGGCAGAAAGAGUACCAUAAGCUACCCAGCAUGCCUUGCGGCAGGAAUAUAUAUUGUACAAAAAAAAGAGAAAGAACUACAGUACUUACGUAGGCGCAAUAAAACAUAGAAAAGACCAAUUCCAUUACGUCUUCCACUUAUGGUAGCAACGUACCAAAGAAAAGGAAAGUGAAAUCAGACAUUGUUAAAAGCUCAGUGGAAAAGUCCAGGCUAAGCAGCUCAAACACUGUGACCAUCAUCAAGGAUAACAUCUUGAACAUGUGAAAGGAUCAGUAUGGUUUACUAUGAAGUGAGCAGCGUAAUGGUCUCUCUAUUGUGACUUCCUUGUGCAGUAUGCCCCUGUGUUCUGUGUACAUGAUUAGAAAUAAUUUUGGUAUAAGUUCCGACUUCCUCUGCAACUUAACAUACAUUAGUUAACUUAACUUGUUCAUAAGUUGAGGACCACCUGUGGUCAAUCAUCUACCCAGACUUCCUAGUUUCUGGAGAAAAGGUGAUGUGUGCUAUCCGAGCCGAGAUGCUUUAAAUGGAGCCUAUUAAAGAGGUGUGUGUCAGUAUGCAUCACAGGAGGCACUUCACCCUGACGGACACCCGUGUGAACACAACGUGCACGCUAGGCGGAAACGUUGGGAGUCUCACUGAGUCACUGGCAGGGUGUCAGAGGUGAGCAGGGACGGUCUGCAGGGCAUCUUCCGUUGUUCGAUGGAUGUUGACGUUCUAGAAAGAGCAACACAUCAAGUGUCAGAGCUCUUGUCUAAGAAGUAGAUUGGCGCGUGUUGUAUGUGUAUCAUGAUAAGAGUUUUGUCUUGAAGUGUAACAAUAUGGGGAAUGUAAUCGUUUAUUUUUGGGUCGGUCUCUAUAAUCUUUGUGCCAUGCUCCGUCCGGCCUGAUUUGACUGACAGUUCUCUGAAAUGUACUCAAGCACGGUACACAGGAGGUCGUCACAGAGGUCAUCCUGAGCAUGCUCUGUAGACAAAUCUAAUCAUGAAUCGGAUGGUUCAUUCCACCAGUUCAAACUGGCAACUAUCCAUAUGCAUAAAUACUCAAAAUAGGCUCUCUAUGUAUAUAAUGACAUUCCUCCUCCUGCCAGUUAUGACACCUGGGAUCUAAAUCAUACAAAACAACUCAAGGUGAGCCAUAAAGUCAAGUUGCAAAGUAAGUGUUGUAUCAUGAAGUGAUGGCCAAAGCCCAAAAGCUGUGGAGCGGUGUGAGUGGGGGGGCCAGCAGGGGAAAUGCAGUAGAAACUAAUGUAAAUCACCAUGCAGGCUGCAAAGUACUUGUGGUACAGUAUGUCUGUGUUGAAUGCAAAGUAGAACCCUGGAGGUCUUGAAGAAAUGACUAUGACGAGAUUGGGUUUGGAGCAGUGCUGAGUAAGUGAAGUUUAUUUAGAAACAGUUAACAGAAAUCUUUUCUUCAUUCUGGUGAGUGAUUUUUUUUUCCCAUAAAAGACACUUCACAUGGUUUUUAACAAUAUCAUUGUACUUUUAUGAGUUUUAGUAGACAGUAUGACAUUUGACACACAGCAGUUGUAAAGGAGAACAUUGGAUGACAAAAGAAAAGUUGUGCAAUAUUGCAAAAAUUCCAUAAGGUGUCUUAUCGCCUACGAAGAUAUCGAUUUAGGAUGAGAAUCAUGAGAAAAACUACAUACAAAAAAAACUUCAUUAUUGCUUCAGAUGCGAGAGCUCAGCAUCAGGUUAACAAGCUCUCCAUUUAUUCUCCAAAAAUGGGAGAAAGUAUUAUUACUUAAAAA